rnacentral:rRNA from 1 species
UACGUAGGUGGCUAGCGUUGUCCGGAUUUACUGGGCGUAAAGAGCGCGCAGGCGGUCGUUCAAGUCGAGUGUGAAAGCCCCCGGCUCAACUGGGGAGGGUCACUCGAUACUGAUCGACUCGAAGGCAGGAGAGGGAAGCGGAAUUCCCGGUGUAGUGGUGAAAUGCGUAGAUAUCGGGAGGAACACCAGUGGCGAAGGCGGCUUUCUGGCCUGCUCUUGACGCUGAGGCGCGAAAGCGUGGGGAGCAAACAGG